AUAUGUUUUGAUUUUAUGGUUAAUUUUUUUCUGGAACAUUCGAUUUAUAGUUGUUAUGCUACCGAAAUUUCGGUAGAAUUUGGAUAAAUAUUUUAUGUGAUUGAAAUGUGUAACUACGGCCAUUGUAUGCAUAUAUGGCAGAUGAUGUGCUGACACAUGAUUGCUCAGAAGAUGAGAACUUAGGUCAUUGUUUGCAACCUCCCAACCAUGGAGGUCCUACACGGAUGAAGUGUGUAUGCCAAAGAAUGGAUAAAGACGUCAUUGGAUGCUUGAGAUUGUUUGUGCUGGGAAGAUCAUUCACUUGGACCCUUUGUUUAGACAUAAACGCCCUCAGAUGACUAUUGACCUCACACUCCAAAGGUUGGAAUGAAGGACGCAUACGAUGUGGAGACGAUGUUGCUUGCUACCACUGCAACAUCAAUGGUUAUCGAAACUGACACGAUACUUGUACUAGUUAGCUUUAGACUUUUAAUUUUAGGCAAUACUUAUUUUGUGCGUGAUUUUUAUUAGUAAGAA